rnacentral:SRP_RNA from 1 species
GGUUCGCUUCUACAGUGACGAUAGGUUGUGAACCCGGUCAGGUCCGGAAGGAAGCAGCCGUAGCAGCUGAUGCGGGCAUUGAAUUUCAGCGAGUCG